rnacentral:rRNA from 1 species
CUCUGGGACAAGCCCUGGAAACGGGGUCUAAUACCGGAUACGACCAUCUCGGGCAUCCGAUGGUGGUGGAAAGCUCCGGCGGUGCAGGAUGAGCCCGCGGCCUAUCAGCUUGUUGGUGGGGUGAUGGCCUACCAAGGCGACGACGGGUAGCCGGCCUGAGAGGGCGACCGGCCACACUGGGACUGAGACACGGCCCAGACUCCUACGGGAGGCAGCAGUGGGGAAUAUUGCACAAUGGGCGGAAGCCUGAUGCAGCGACGCCGCGUGAGGGAUGACGGCCUUCGGGUUGUAAACCUCUUUCAGCAGGGAAGAAGCGCAAGUGACGGUACCUGCAGAAGAAGCACCGGCUAACUACGUGCCAGCAGCCGCGGUAAUACGUAGGGUGCGAGCGUUGUCCGGAAUUAUUGGGCGUAAAGAGCUCGUAGGCGGCUUGUCGCGUCGGAUGUGAAAGCCCGGGGCUUAACCCCGGGUCUGCAUUCGAUACGGGCAGGCUAGAGUUCGGUAGGGGAGAUCGGAAUUCCUGGUGUAGCGGUGAAAUGCGCAGAUAUCAGGAGGAACACCGGUGGCGAAGGCGGAUCUCUGGGCCGAUACUGACGCUGAGGAGCGAAAGCGUGGGGAGCGAACAGGAUUAGAUACCCUGGUAGUCCACGCCGUAAACGUUGGGAACUAGGUGUGGGCGACAUUCCACGUCGUCCGUGCCGCAGCUAACGC